rnacentral:rRNA from 1 species
AUUGAACGCUGGCGGCACGCCUUACACAUGCAAGUCGAACGGCAGCACGGGUGCUUGCACCUGGUGGCGAGUGGCGAACGGGUGAGUAAUACAUCGGAACGUACCUUAUCGUGGGGGAUAACGCAGCGAAAGCUGUGCUAAUACCGCACACGCACUGAGGGGGAAAGCGGGGGAUCGAAAGACUUCGCGCGAUUAGCGCGGACGAUGCCUGAUUAGCUUGUUGGUGGGGUAAAAGCCCACCAAGGCGACGAUAAGUAGCUGGUCUGAGAGGACGAUCAGCCACACUGGGACUGAGACACGGCCCAGACUCCUACGGGAGGCAGCAGUGGGGAAUUUUGGACAAUGGGGGCAACCCUGAUCCAGCAAUGCCGCGUGAGUGAAGAAGGCCUUCGGGUUGUAAAGCUCUUUUGUCAGGGAAGAAACACCGGCUCUAACACAGUCCGGGAAUGACGGUACCUGAAGAAUAAGCACCGGCUAACUACGUGCCAGCAGCCGCGGUAA